UCACAUCACAUUGAAACUCUAGUUCCCAUAUGAUCACCAAAGUUAAGCAACAUCGAGCCUAGUCAGUACCUAGAUAGAUGACCACAUGGGAUUCCAG